GCUCAGCAAACUCAGAAGGCCCUGUCACCAGCAGGAAGGAAGAGACCCCACGACUGAGGGCAGUGGGCUAUGAGAUUUGUGACCCUUUCCUCUGCCUGCCUCUGCCUCUGCCUGUUAGGACUCUGCUGGACCAGGCAUCCAUCCUAUGGAACUUUCCAUGAAGCGUUGACCUCCCUGCCCCUCAGACAUUGGACAGGGGGCAGGAAACGGAAUGAAAGCAGCCACUCUCUGAAGAGCUGGAGACCAUCAUCUGCCUCUGGAAGCCCAGGGAACCUCGGCUCAGACAGAAGGACAGAGAUUGAGGGAAGGGAGAGA